UCCUCGAUUUGCAUGCUCUCUCGCCGGUUAGACAGAUGAGAGAGCAUGCAAAUCGAGGAGA
rfam:Pristionchus pacificus strain PS312 contig3546, whole genome shotgun sequence.